rnacentral:rRNA from 1 species
ACGUAAUAGAUACCCAGGUAGUCCACGCCCUAAACGAUGUCUACUAGUUGUUGGUGGAGUAAAAUCCAUGAGUAAACGCAGCUAAACGCGUGAAGUAGACCGCCUGGGGAGUACGGUCGCAAGAUUAAAACUCAGAGGAAUUGACGGGGGCCCGCACAAGCGGUGGAUUAUGUGGAUUAAUUCGAUGCAACGCGAAAAACCUUACCUGGCCUUGACAUGCCACUAACGAAGCAGAGAUGCAUUAGGUGCCCGUAAGGGAAAGUGGACACAGGUGCUGCAUGGCUGUCGUCAGCUCGUGUCGUGAGAUGUUGGGUUAAGUCCCGCAACGAGCGCAACCCUUGCCAUUAAUUGCCAUCAUUUAGUUGGGCACUUUAAUGGGACUGCCGGUGACAAACCGGAGGAAGUGGGGAUGACGUCAAGUCCUCAUGGCCCUUAUGGCCAGGGCUUCACACGUAAUACAAUGGUCGGUACAGAGAGUUGCCAACCCGCGAGGGGUAGCUAAUCUCAGAAAGCCGAUCGUAGUCCGGAUUGUUCU